rnacentral:lncRNA from 1 species
GUGAGCAGGAGGCUUAAAGCCUGGCGGAGCAGCAGCCGCCUUGCCGGGGGAGAGGCCGGUUCGGGGCUGGCUCUGAGUACCGCGCGGCCGUCAGAUCCCGGGGACGCCGGGGGCCCGGGCUGAGCACCGUGGCCCGUGAGGAGGAGCACCGGACUGGAUCUAAUGAAAAUACUUUAAUGGGGAUGAAUAAACAGAGGAGCAUAAAGUUAUGCAUGUACAUUGAAUAAAGUAUAUUUUCAUCCAUAAAAUACAAGUUUAGCUUAGAUUGUUGUAUUAUCUCUCAUUGCAUAACAAAUUAACUCCAAAAGUUGGCUGCUCACAACUGACCACAUUUCUGAGUGUUGGGAAUGCAAUAACUGGUUCAGGAUCCCUUAAAGGUCAUGUCAGCUCUCGGUGG